GGGUGCGGUCUUAGCAACACUAUUGCACCGGAUCCCAUUAGAACUCCGCAGCUAAGAGUGUUUGAGCGAGAGUACUACUAGGAUGGUUGACCCCCUUGGAAGUCCUCGUGUUGCACCCU